rnacentral:lncRNA from 1 species
UUUUAAGUUGCUUAGGAAUGAUAAAAUAUUCAAUUACUUAACUAUAUUAUAGCCCAUUAAAUGUGAUAAUAAAUGAAAUAAAUAUGUAUAUUUAAUGUUAUUUGGCAGUCAACUUUAUUUAUGGUAUGUUAAUUUUGAUGUAAAUGUAUAAAAUUUAAAUACAGUUGAACAAAAAUAUUAAAUGCAUAAUUUAAUCUUUCUUUCAGUUUUAUACUUAUAUUAAUU